GUCUACAGCAAUACCACCCUGAACACUCCUGAUCUUGUCUGAUCUCGAAAGCUAAGCAGGGUGGGGCCUGGUUAGUACUUGGAUGGGAGACCUUGUUCCAAUAAUUAUUCUCUUUCAUACC
rnacentral:rRNA from 1 species